GCCGACCAGUUCGAUUCUGGCUCUCCAUCUGUUGCGUACCGCUUGCCACCGAGCAUCCCCUUUUCAUCCAGGGCCUCACCAAUAGAACAAGUGCUCCUGAAAGGCUAGAUCUUGAUUACCAGCCAGUUCCACCGCCAUGCAUGCCAGUAAAAUGGAGCUUCAGUUCAUUCAGGCAAACACAGGGGAAAACACGAGAACCGACCAAACACACCAUGCAAACUUCACUGGUUUAUAGAUGUAAACCCAAAGACCUAUCAAUGGAAAAUCCUCGCACGCAUUGGCCACAUUUGGGAAAACAGAGACCAACAAACACAUCGGAAUAUAUACGAGCUAGGGCUCAUUGUUGUGGACUCUGGGGUGAUAUUCUGCAGUUUUCAGCAGUCAAAUUAUUUUGUCUCCUUAUUCUCUUCACGAAGUGAAGAUAGGUUGUGUCUACUUCACUGCUAGGGAUAAGGUCACUAGCCUUUUACAUGUUCUCUCAUGUGAUGUCUCUCCAUUUCAGGCUUUCAACUUUCAAGGUAUAUCACGUACAUUGUGUUGCUGUUCCAUGUCCCAAGAUGUUAUGAAGUCCCAUUUCCAUGGCUGAUUUAACGAUACUGUGCAUCUGCUAAGUGUUUGCUUGCUUGACGGUUUGCCCGAAAUGAUACACAACAAGUAAUGGAGAUAAGGUACGUAUGUUGAUUUAUUCUUGCAACCAGGGUCACAUCAGAUAUUUACAGCUGGCAAGUGAAGAAUAGCGACAAAGCUAUGGUCAGUUUUUUUUGGAGAUUACUUUUAAAUUUCACAAGCAGUACUUCCAAAUGUGAGUGUAUGCAUAACCUUACCAUUUACCAUAUUUAUUAUUUAGUCGUGGUUGACUCCCUUAAUUUCAUAUUCUAUAUCAUUGCUUUUAUGUGAUGCUUAGAACAUAGGUAGAUAACUUUGGAUGCCUAAAUAAAAGAUCUUUGAUGCAUGACUUUCUUUUUGUUUAUGGCAGUGAACAUGUCAAGCAUAUUAGUUAUGAUAGGCGAGGUACACUCUUACACUGACACUUCUCAUAUUGCUUAUAGUAGAUCCAACAUCAAUAGGCUGUCUCCCACAAUCCGUAUACACGGCGAGGUCGACUGGAUCAGGGAAAAAAGGCGUACAUUCAUACAAGUUAUAUAUGAUUGUACCAGUGUCUGAAUCCAUAUUUGCCGUUUGCACGAGAAGAAGAAAUAGACCAAUUGCCCAGGUAAAGAUGCAACGCCAGAGCUAAAUUGCAUAAGCCAUGCCUAAACAUGUAAUAUCGUGGUAAACAGUUUCAUUUGCACCAGCUGUUGAAAUUAAUUAAGGCCAUGGUGAUUGCAAUAAUUAGCCAUCCAGAGAACCUAUAUAGAAUGCAUUUUCUCCGCAAUGUCUCAGCCGCGACACAAUGUACAAUAUGAGGCACCCUUCUAGCAGCUCUACAACAGAGUGAACAGACCAUUGAGCUGUUGUAAUAUUGAGUACCUCCAAUGAAGUAUUAUUAAGUAGCUGAAUUACUAUAAUAUUAAGUGGCUUUGUAUAAUUGCAGAUCCCAUUUAUUAGGUUUUCCACCAUGCCUGUUAGACUAAGCCAUCAUUCUCUCCUGCUACGAUAAAGUGACUACUGAGAGAUGUCUCAGAAACUAGGUUGUGGCAAAGCCACCUUAUCAAUCUACUUUACUGACACCUGCACGAUUUGGUCAUCAAGAGUAUGUUCUGCUUUUGGGCAAGUAUCUAUGGUGUGUUGUGCUAUGUUUGCGUAGAACCAUGUAAUGGAACUAUUUUUGACAAUGUUGUGCUUUGUCGUUGCUGUUUUGUAUGAAUAUUGCAUGCGCCACUACCUAUCCGUAGUGCAGCGCAUUCCUUGCAUGCCUCACGGGCACGGCUAAGAUAUUUCCGCAUAUCACACAGCUCUCCCCGGAUGACAGAUGCAUGUGCCCAUUACUUGAUGUAACUGGAGAUUCUGAGGAAGUUUUCGAUUCUGUUUCCUAUAUAGAUCCGCUUGCGAAGGAGGUACAUGGUUAGGCAAUCAGUCCCAAAAGUCUGUAGGUAGUAGCUACAAAUGUUUGGUGAAGUUAUCUGUAAACUUUUGCAGAUGCCAGCUGCAGGGAUUCAAUGCAUGGGGACCUAACAUCAGAUCAUUGCUAGCACCAAACCUUUGCAAACGGUGGCUACAACUAACCAGUAUCAACAUUACCAUCCCGAGACGAUGCAUGUAUAAAUAAGACCUGUGUAAUUUGCGUUCUACUAUUGUGACGCUGUAUAUCCAUUUUACUACCUGCUAAUAUUGUACUGUGACAUGGUUUGUGGUUGCUUUUCCAUGCUA